rnacentral:rRNA from 1 species
CAGCCGCCACGGUAAUACAGAGGAUGCAAGCGUUAUCCGGAAUGAUUGGGCGUAAAGCGUCUGUAGGUGGCUUUUCAAGUCCGCCGUCAAAUCCCAGGGCUCAACCCUGGACAGGCGGUGGAAACUACCAAGCUGGAGUACGGUAGGGGCAGAGGGAAUUUCCGGUGGAGCGGUGAGAUGCGUUGAGAUCGGAAAGAACACCAACGGCGAAAGCACUCUACUGGGCCGACACUGACACUGAGAGACGAAAGCUAGGGGAGCAAAUGGGAUUAGAUACCCGUGUAGUCCCUGUCUCUUAUAC